GGGGGUUUCCGCCCCUUAGUGCUGCAGCUAACGCAUUAAGCACUCCGCCUGGGGAGUACGGUCGCAAGACUGAAACUCAAAGGAAUUGACGGGGGCCCGCACAAGCGGUGGAGCAUGUGGUUUAAUUCGAAGCAACGCGAAGAACCUUACCAGGUCUUGACAUCCCGUUGACCACUGUAGAGAUAUGGUUUCCCCUUCGGGGGCAACGGUGACAGGUGGUGCAUGGUUGUCGUCAGCUCGUGUCGUGAGAUGUUGGGUUAAGUCCCGCAACGAGCGCAACCCUUGAUCUUAGUUGCCAUCAUUUAGUUGGGCACUCUAAGGUGACUGCCGGUGACAA
rnacentral:rRNA from 1 species